rnacentral:rRNA from 1 species
UACGGAGGGUGCAAGCGUUAUCCGGAUUUACUGGGUUUAAAGGGUGCGUAGGUGGAUAAUUAAGUCAGUGGUGAAAUCUUCAGGCUUAACCUGGAAACUGCCAUUGAUACUAUUUAUCUUGAAUACUUUGGAGGUAAGCGGAAUAUGUCAUGUAGCGGUGAAAUGCUUAGAUAUGACAUAGAACACCAAUUGCGAAGGCAGCUUACUACACAGUAAUUGACACUGAGGCACGAAAGCGUGGGGAGCAAA